ensembl:lncRNA
CAAAGACUGAGGACGGAGGGGGUCCUUGUGUGGGUCCAACAAACAACUGAAGUGGAGGAGUUUCUACCGGAGGCCAACUGUGACAAACGCACACUCUAACACAAUCACACGCGCACACACACACACUAAUGUAGAGAAUCAAUGAAUAUACUGUACGUGUUUGAAUAGAUUAGUUACACUAUAUGGACAUGAAAUGUGACAACACGCACACCAUGUACUUCUCCAUGCAGAACACACACACCUGCCCACACAAAAUAUGGACUUCUUUAUAUCCGCGUUUACAGACACACGUGGUCUUAAAAAGUGCCAAAACGUUGAGUUCAUGUGCAGACGAGAGGAACCAAACAUCUGUAGAAAUGAACUAAGUGUCUCAAAGCCUCAGUGUACUUCAUGCUUUCUGUCAUGUGUUUGUUUCUCUGUACAACCAAUGCUUUCUUUUUGCUCAACUGUCUUUAUUAUCGGCGCUUCCCAUUUUUGUUAAAAACGCUGUGUGUGUUGGUGUGAAGUUGCUCAAUGUGAAUGUCACAUCUGGAGUUGUCAUGGGUUCUUCUGAUCUGUCCGACUGCAAAAAAACAAAAAGGAGACACAUGCUAGAUAAGAUUUGAGAAGAACAGAAGAAGCCUUUGGAUCUGCAGGGACCUCAUAUUUAAAUAAACUAACAGCACAGUCUUUAUCCAACCGGGAGAACCAAUUAUCUGUAAAUAUUCAGGAUUACAAUCAAUUAUCUCCUGAAAAGUACAAAAUCUUUGUUGAAAUGAGUCAGUGGGAGGAGGACGGGUCCCAAAACCAUCGAUGAUGCAAACAAGUGCUUCCUCUGAGAUCAGAGAGAGAGAUGGGGACCGCGGGCCGAUUCAUCAAUGGAGGUUGUUAAGGGCCGGGGGCAAAAUAGCCGACUGGCGUCUUCCAAACACGAUACAGAAGACGCUCCACCUGACGUCCUGUAUCAGAAAGAUGUUGUUCAUGUUCAGUUUAUUAUUCCAAGUAUUGGAUCCUAACAAAGUUUUCUAUGAGUUGCAGUUAAGAAGACAUUGAUAUCUUCUGAAGGUACCUUAAAUGUAAAAUGUAAAUCAGACGUUGCCAAUAUCAGUUCUAACCCGUUGGGUCAAGUUCCUUUUUAUUGACGAGACGUUCUGCAUUGACAUCGAGAGACGAGAUGAAGAGAAGAGCACAACACGCAAGCCUUUCACCGCUGCUGGCUAUCAAGCGUCAGAGUAAGGUGGCCUUCUGUUUGGGUCAUCAGCUCCAUCAGCUGGUCCCUCUGCCUCCGACAGCGUGAGGUCACAUGUGCGAUGGUGCUAAAACGUGUUUGGUACCAACAGCUCAUCGCUGUCCACAUGCAGCAGAGACGGAGGGGGAGAUUUCAUUUUUUCAUCUGUUUGCUGCACAGGGUGAUGGUUGGAUAGCUGAAAUAUUGAGUCUAUAAGACGAACGCAAUCAUGAACUUUUCAUCCAAUAGUACUUUCAGCGAGUGAAUCUCAGCACAAAGAAUAAAUGACAGGUUCCAUUUAUGACUCGGCCUGCAGCAAAAUGGAUCUCUAGAAGAUUUACUCAUUAUUAUUCUCCCCAGCGCACAGAUGUGACCCAGUGUUCCCAUACUCAAUUUGCAAUAUAGACGUCUUCAUAACCUGACGUUUUUUUUCACGCAACCUUGUUAGGUGAUUUGUGUCUCCAUAGUUACAGUAGACUCUUCUGAGAAGAAAGCGCUUAAAGACUUCUCAGAGCGCUAUCACACAAAUUCGCUCCAUGAGCCGUCGUACGACCUUAAUCCCAGAAUCCUAAUCAUCCUCUCAGCCCACAUCUCCAGCUGCUGCCAUGGCGACGGCCCCAGGUGGCACGCUGGUGGACUCCGAAUGGGCCUCUGAAUCGACCCCAUGUUCUCACGCUAGCGAGAGAUCAUUCCCGUCUCAAUUAGUGGCCAACAAUAGUCUCUCAGAAGUGAUCAUUUGCAAAAGAAGCCAAAAAACACAGAACGUUCGUCCCUGCCAGCCACUUCCUCCUCUCCAGUGAUGGAGACGGACGUCCCCCGUGCCCCUCAUUUCCUCUCUUGUUGGCUUUGCCCUCCAUUUCUGCUCCUUCAUCUCCAACAGUGGGAAGAGGCAAAAAGCCGCCAGCGCACUCUUGGUGCUCGUAAACCAAUCUAAUAUUUAAAAUGUCUACUUUCUGAAUGUACGUUUCAUAGUUAUGCAUGGCAGCAGAUGUUUACUGUGGUAAUUAGCACGGAUGUGGUUAGUCAAUCUCUGCUGGAGAAGUUUCUGAGGAGCUGAAGUUCAUAAACUUCAUAAACUCAUGUUUACGGUUUCAAUCUCUAGUUUAGAUCUAAUGCGACUGGAAAAGACUGAAAGAAGUAACUAGUGGAGACCAUGUUGGUGUGUGUGUGUCUGUGGGUUGUGCGUGUGUGUGCUAUUACUUGCACAUCACCUUAAUGAUGUGCCCUUUGUAUUCACUUUAAUUGGCCUGUUCGUAAUUACACGGGAGAGUUUCCUGUCUAACACACAAGGUGACCUGGUUGUGACUUUGUACUGGAGAGCCGGAGAAAAUAGAAGAAGAAAAAUUCCUCCUCAGUCCUUUCUUUGACAUCAGGAAACAAGUAACAAGAAGUCAAAUGUAACCAUGACCGGUUACGUUGCCCAAGAACCCCUGAAGAUGAAGCCCUUUCCUCCUUUCCGCAUCAUAGCCACAACAUUUCUGCCCAAAAAUACUAAAUAUGGUAGCGUAACAAACACGCUCAGAUUAAAAUAAUGGAGGUCCUAUGAACUCAAUGGCAAUCGCUCCAUCUUGGUAUUCACGGGACCAACUGAAGGAAUAUGAAAGCACCAAAGACGAUUCAUUUCCUGCGGUUCAGUCUGAUGAGCACGGCAGCCUCCAGGGACCAUUAGUGGGAUGUUGAUUUAAAAUCGUUUACAGUCAUUAGCGCCAAGACGAGGGAUUCGUGUUUUACUCCAUUUCAUGAAAAUAAUCGUACCUUUUUGAAAAAUUAGAAAACACCUCUUACAUCAAAAAGGUUCAAUACAUAAAUCAUUUUUAUUGUUUAAACAAUAAAACUGCCAAUCUUUAUUAUUUAUUUGAUCAGCGUUUUAUUUUAAUGUGGCUCCUUCAGCCAAACAUGAGUGUGAGUAAUGAUGAGGAGAUGUGUUUAUGAAUAUAUUACAUACACAUAUUAUAUUAUAUAUACAUAUUAUAUAACAACACAUGUUUAUGUGUUGUUUACUGACAACCACAACAGCAGCAAAUUCCCCAAAUCUUCGAACUUACCUGGACAUGAUGAAUCCACACGUCUCCUCUAAUGAACGUGCCGGAUAUCACGAGUUGAGGUUGUAAUGCGAAGCGACCGAUCGGAGGGUAACCGUGACAACGUGGUGUGACAUGCAUGACGAUGGAUGAAAUUCAGACAAUGAGGCGAAACGUGGACAUCGUUUGUCUCCCCUGUACUGCAACCCCCCCCCUCCCACACACACACUGUGUUGUAACAGCCGGUUUGUGUUCACCUUGUGUACUCUGAUCUAUUCCUGGUGUGUUUUACAGCAGUUUGGUUCCCCGUCGGACAGGAAAUGUGUAAACUAAACAAAGGAGGCAAACAAACAAGAAAAAUCUGUGAAUUUUGUACAAACCGUAGGAACAAGUGACUGUUUUUCUACUGAGCCUGUUAUCUCUAUGUGUUUCUCUGGU